rnacentral:tRNA from 1 species
CUUUUGAAAGCUAAUCUAGCAUUGAGCUUUUAACUCAAAGAUAGUUAUAUCUAUAACUCAAAAGA